CUGAUCUUGAAAGUAUCAUAGAUGACCUCACUGUUCUCAAUGACAAGGCAAUUGAGAUGUUCUGUACUGCAGGUCAGUUGUUAAAGACUCUGGACCAAACCUAUCAAAGAGGGGACAACCUGCGAUCUGAGAGUGUGAAACUCUUACGAAAGAUACAAGAGUUCUUGGAAGAGUUGAAGCGAUCCAACCACACAGGUGGGAACACAGAGGAGGCCACCAGGAUGAUAAAAGAAGCCCAAUGGAUGCUGGUGAAGAUGCGAAGACAAAGCUGUAGGGUUCAGAGAGAACUGGCUAACGAGGAGCUCAGAAAAGCACGAACACUACUUAACCUCAUCUUGAAUGACCUGAUGGUUCCUCUGAAUGGCUCCUUGGUAGUGACUGAUCAUAUUAGACAAAAACUCAUGGAUCAGGCAGAAGAUCUUAAAGAUAUACAAGAGGCGCUUAUAGAUGCACAGCUUGAUGUGAUCAAGGC
rnacentral:lncRNA from 1 species